rnacentral:tRNA from 1 species
GGGAGUGGUAAUAGCUCAGUGGUAGAGCGCAUGCUUAAUGUGCAUGAGGUCCUGGGUUCAAUCCCCAGUACUUCCA